GCCCAGCAGGCGCGAAACUUCGCAAUGCGCGAAAGCGCGACGAGGGGAUUCCAAGUGCAUGCACUAAGUGUAUGCUUUUCGUGAGUUUAAAACGCUCACGGAAUAAGGGCUGGGUAAGACUGGUGCCAGCCGCCGCGGUAAUACCAGCGGCCCUAGUGGUGAUCGUUAUUAUUGGGCCUAAAGCGUCCGUAGCCGGUCCGGUAAAUCUCUGGGUAAAUCGUUGGGCUUAACUCAGCGAAUUCUGGGGAGACUGCUGGACUUGGGACCGGGAGAGGUCGGAGGUACUCCAGGGGUAGGGGUGAAAUCCUGUAAUCCUUGGGGGACCACCGGUGGCGAAGGCGUCCGACCAGAACGGGUCCGACGGUAAGGGACGAAGCCCCUGGGGCGCGAACCGGAUUAGAUACUCGCGUAGU
rnacentral:rRNA from 1 species